rnacentral:rRNA from 1 species
UACGUAGGUGACAAGCGUUGUCCGGAUUUACUGGGCGUAAAGAGCGCGCAGGCGGUCGAUCAAGUCGAGUGUGAAAGCCCCCGGCUCAACUGGGGAGGGUCAUUCGAAACUGGUCGACUCGAAGGCAGGAGAGGGUAGUGGAAUUCCCGGUGUAGUGGUGAAAUUCGUAGAUAUUCGCAAGAACACCAGUGGCGAAGGCGGCUCACUGGCCCGAUACUGACGCUGAGGUGCGAAAGCGUGGGGAGCAAACAGG